GGCGGCGUACCCAAGUGGCUAAGGGAGCGGUCUGCAAAACCGUUAUUCAGGGGUCCGAUUCCCCUCGCCGCCUCCA
rnacentral:tRNA from 1 species